CCGGUACAUUCUUUUGAUGCGAUACCGCCAAGACGUCCCACAGUUCGUCACGGCCCGGCGUUGCCAAGCGGUAACAGUUUACUGAGACAACCUGGACCAUUUCCACAUAUGCCACUUCUACAUCCACAAUAUCGCCAUGUAAGUGCACCGCCACGUUGGGCGAGCUUACUAGGACAACCACCUACAAAUCCGUAUAUUCCUAGGCCAGGCUUCUUGUACCCCCUGAGGUUCAGCACAUGCGCGGAGCGAGAGGAAUAUCGCAAGUACCUCCUGCACAACGUCCCGGACGACCCUUUGGAAAUGGCCCACCUCGUCACCCACAUCACGAGGAAAGUCGCAAACGGCAAGGACACACAGUGCUACGUCGGAGAUGGUUCCGCGAACACGAGAAUCACUACAAUCGUGUGCUAGAGCUCGGAGAGGAUCCUGCACUUCGUGGAUCCUCCAAAUUAGUUCGACACAAACCGUCUAGGUUUUCUGAAGCACGUCACCCACGUGUGCAAAACGCUCAUAUGCCCGAAGAACAGUCAGUUGCGCUCCCUGCGA